GCAGAAUCAAAACAUGUUUCCUUCAGCUCUUUCAAAGAUUUUGGGUUGAACUUCCGCCUUCCGUCUCUCUUCUUUGCGUCCUUUCUCCUCUGUCCAUAAUAUGACCUGUACGAAGGGCAUGGAUUGAAUAAGCGUGGCAAGCAAAGAAAAAGGGAAAGGCGCUUACCUCAGUCACCAGAUCCACCGGAGUUCGGGUUCCUGGUUCAUCAGCGGAUCUCAUGAUGUCGCUGAUCGCGUACCUCAGAUCCACCGGAGUUCCGGUUCCUGAUUCUUCAGCGGAUCUCCAUGAUGUCGCCGGUGACCCACCAUCUCCUCCGCCGUGUACGGCGGAACCCUAACAAACGUCACCGUGUUCAAUACUCAGAUCCACCAUCAUCGCAGUUUCUAAACACCUGAACCCUAAUGUCAAUUGAAUCCACCAUCAUUCGGACCGUUUAACCAUCGUUGCUGCCGCCGGAGGCCUACUCCGUCUAUCUCUCUCUCUGUAUAUAGCAGACCCUCCUUUCCUCAGGUUCUCUUUUCUGGAAUAUGGAUUCUGAAAGCGUAUUUAGUAAAGGGCUUGGGCUUCUUGACACGUGGUGGCGGUGGGUUUUUAUGUAGGUGAUUUGAACUGAUGCGUGGCAACUCAGGGCAUGUAAAAAAAACACGUAGUAAAAAAAUGUGGUCCAAUAGAAUAUUGCCAACCAUCUAUGUGUCACUGUUCAUUCACUUCAUCUAUUAUCAUAUAUAUAUAGAUUAGAUU
rnacentral:lncRNA from 1 species